GGCUGAUGAAGAUGCAUAAUCACAUGAUGAAAGACAGGAUUAAGAAAGAGAAGAAGUGUUAGAGGGGCUGAUGAAGAUGCAUAAUCACAUGAUGAAAGACAGGAUUAAGAAAGAGAAGAAGUGUUCUGAGGAGCUGAAAAAGAGAGAGAAAGCUCAAGCUGAGUUCUUGGAGAUGGAGAGAAAGAUUCAAGAAAAGGAGGAGAAGAAGAGAGAAAAGAUGAAGAAAGAGGAGAGGAAGAGACUAGAGAAGAAGAAAAAGAGGGAGCCAGCUGGAGGUGGAACUGAGAGGGUGAUAGAAGAGCAGGGAAAGGAUGAAAGCUUGAAGAUGGAUGAGUAGACUGGGUAUUUAGAGAGAGAGAGCAGGGAGGUAUACGAUAUUUUUGCAUGCAAU
ensembl:lncRNA